GUGCUUGCUUUGGCAGCACUUACACUAAAAUUGGAAUAAUACAGAGAAUAUUAACAUGGCCCCUGUGCAAGGAUGACAUGCAAGUUCAAGAUGCAGAAGUCAACAAA
ensembl:snRNA U6 U6 spliceosomal RNA